CGAAACCCGGGAUCGAACCAGGGACCUUUAGAUCUUCAGUCUAACGCUCUCCCAACUGAGCUAUUUCGGCCACCAAGAAAGUUCGUCUCUCUUUUCUUCCUCCUCGUCGAGCUCGCAAGGCCCCGGCUCUUGGGCUGGGUUCAGCCUGAUACCGGCACUCCGGAAUCUGUCAUCUACGUGCGACGGCCCCUCCUGCGAGAAACGUUCCCUGAGCACUCCUCCGGACACAGUCACAGCCACUUAUUAUAUAUUGUUAGCUUAUUUUCUGAUUUCUUCGUCCAUUCUCUGCCUCCACAGCUGGCAUGACAGCCCCAAGAGGAGCAAGGAAGUCGCCUGCUUUGAUCACUACUGUAUCCCUCAGUGCCUAGCAAAGUGCCUGAACCGUAGUAGGUGCUUAAUAAAUAUUUGUUGGGUAAACGAACGAACAAACGAAUAACCGAAUCCUUCCUGGCUCAGAGCUCAGCUUCUCAAGCUUGCCUCUCUGCACAAAGGAAUAACGUCACCCUUGGGUGCAGCUCCCCAAACAGCCUAAGGUGUGACAGGGACGCUGACCACACCAAGGCCUGUAGGAAGACACACCAACUAGAAGUGGCUUUCCUUGGGGCACUGAGUGACUCAUAUCCGGCCUCCAAACGUGGCCUUCUCUCCUUUGGGCUCCUGCUCAGUUUCAAGGAACUAUGCUUAUUCCUGGAGGGCGCGACAUCCUUUGUGUGUACCCUAAUUUAGGCUGCUGUGAGAACGACUACGACUAACAAUAAGCAAGCACGGAUAAGUUCUAUGAAGACAACGUAAGUGAUGAGAUGGAGGCUGAACGGCGGCGGAGGCUGCUUUGGACAAGCUGCCGGGGAAGCCUCUCUGAGAUGACAUUUCAGGUCUGCGGAAAGGGCACGUGCGGCAAAGGGAAAGGCAAGUGCAAGGGCCCUGAGGCUGUGGGGAGGGUAUGGACUGUGUGUUGUUGGGACAGAAAGCAAGGCCCGUGCAGGGAACUUAGAGCUUGAGGGGAGAGGGGUUGAACUUGCUCUUCGAAGACACCGAAAGGCUUGACGCAGGGGAGUGACACAAUCCGAUUUAGGCUUCAAAAGGCUCCCUCUGGCUGCCACGUAGGGAAUAGACUUUGGGAAGGCAGGGCCCGUGGAGGCUACAGCCAUGGCCCAGUGGGAGUUGGUGGAAGCUUGUCCUGGGUGGAGCAGUGGAUGACAGGGUUCUGGAUAAACUGUGGAGUAAUUCCAGCAGGACUUGAGGUGGGAAGUGGGAGAGACAGGACUCUGGGAAGCUUCCUAUUCUGGAGGCACCCAGGAGCUGGUGGAGAGAGGGCUGUGGGAAAACUGAACCGGUUUAGAAUAUUCAAAUGUGUCUUUGCUGUUUUACUUAUGCACUUAUAGAAUUCAUGUGUUUGUUAUGACAUCAGCAGGAAUUUAAGAAAAAAUACAUAAGCAAAAGUGAGGGAAAAUCAACAUCCUAUGGAAGCUCACAGUGACCAUCAUUAACACUUUUGUGGGUACCUAACCAGACUAGUUUCCAUAUUCAAGUCUGGGCAGGUCUCCUAUGUAUGUUUGGAGGUCCCUAUGUUUGUAGCUGCAGUCACGGUCACACAGCCAGAUCGAAAGAGACAAAGACUCAAGCGGGUGUAGAAGGGCCCAGGGGAGGCUUCCUUAUGCUCUCCCUCCAGGAGGGUGACACCCAGCACCCUCUCCCCAGCCACCAAAAGAGAGCAGCACAUGAGCAGUGUUUCUGCCCAGGGAAGCCCACUAGACACUCGGCGGCCGGGGUUAUACUGGGGACCGCUCAUGUAGGCACUAGCCCCUUGUUAGACAGGUGAGUUGUAAAUAUUGUCUCCCAUUCUGUGGGUUGUCUUUUCACUUUUUAUGCCGUCUUUUGAAGCACAAGUGUGAAACUGAUGGUACAACCAUAUCACACAGUACUUCGCACGCCUACCACGCGUCAGCAUUUCAGACUGUCAGAAGUACAGCAGGCGCUCAGCAGCACUUGUCGGCAGUGAGCCACCGUCAUCAGGAAACAGAGGGAACCCUCCGGAAAGCCAAGUUCCCGGCCUCCAGCCUAGGGCCCACCGUGCAAGCAGGCCUUUCUAGGAGAGCAGUCUCAGCCUCCUCUGUGAACUCUUUCCAUAUCACAUAUAACUAGGGAGGACCCUGUUGGUCAGCUUUGCAACGUGGUUUCUUUUCACUCAGCACACACGUCCUAAACACUGCUUCAUGUUAAUAAGUAUCACAGUGAAUGGCUGCAAAGUAUUUCAUGCCAUGGCUGUACCAGAUAAACACUGUGGUAUAUACACACAGUGGAAUAUUAUUCAGCCAUAAAAAGAAAUGAAGUACUGAUACAUGCUACAACAUGGAUGCAACCUGAAUGAAAGAAGACACGAAAGAUCACGUAUUGCAUGAUCCCAUUUGUUUGAAAUAUCCAGAAUAGGCAAAUCCAUAGAGACAGAAAGUAGGUUAGUAGUUGCCGAGGGCUGGGGAAGAAAUAAGGGGGUAGCUGCUAAUGGGCACGGGUUUUCUUUUUGGGAAUGAUAAAAACAUUCUGGAAUUAGGUAGUGAUGAUGUUUAAACAACUCCAAAUACUAAAAGCCACUGAAUUGUACUCUUUAAAAUGCUGAUUUAUACGGUAUAUUAAUUAUCUACCAAUAAAAAAAAAUUUAAAAAAAAAAGAGUUCCCUAAUGAUGUUUUUUUCCUUCGCCGUGGUGGCUGAGUGAAGGACGGGAGAAGUAGGGCAGGAAGUCAGCUGGGAGGCUGCUUGG